CAGCAGUAGCCGCGGUAAUACGGAGGGUGCAAGCGUUAUCCGGAUUUAUUGGGUUUAAAGGGUCCGUAGGCGGACUUAUAAGUCAGUGGUGAAAGCCUGUCGCUUAACGAUAGAACUGCCAUUGAUACUGUAAGUCUUGAGUAUAUUUGAGGUAGCUGGAAUAAGUAGUGUAGCGGUGAAAUGCAUAGAUAUUACUUAGAACACCAAUUGCGAAGGCAGGUUACCAAGAUAUAACUGACGCUGAGGGACGAAAGCGUGGGUAGCGAACAGGAUUAGAUACCCCCGUAGUCCCUGUCUCUUAUAC
rnacentral:rRNA from 1 species